AUAGACUGAUCUGACUGUAAG
ensembl:piRNA 21ur-2555 ncRNA